GGGUUGUGAGGUUAAGCGACUAAGCGUACACGGUGGAUGCCCAGGCAGUCAGAGGCGAUGAAGGACGUGCUAAUCUGCGAUAAGCGUCGGUAAGGUGAUAUGAACCGUUAUAACCGGCGAUUUCCGAAUGGGGAAACCCAGUGUGUUUCGACACACUAUCAUUAACUGAAUCCAUAGGUUAAUGAGGCGAACCGGGGGAACUGAAACAUCUAAGUACCCCGAGGAAAAGAAAUCAACCGAGAUUCUCCCAGUAGCGGCGAGCGAACGGGGAGCAGCCCAGAGCCUGAAUCAGUGUGUGUGUUAGUGGAAGCGUCUGGAAAGGCGCGCGAUACAGGGUGACAGCCCCGUACACAAAAAUGCACAUGCUGUGAGCUCGAUGAGUAGGGCGGGACACGUGGUAUCCUGUCUGAAUAUGGGGGGACCAUCCUCCAAGGCUAAAUACUCCUGACUGACCGAUAGUGAACCAGUACCGUGAGGGAAAGGCGAAAAGAACCCCGGCGAGGGGAGUGAAAAAGAACCUGAAACCGUGUACGUACAAGCAGUGGGAGCACGCUUAGGCGUGUGACUGCGUACCUUUUGUAUAAUGGGUCAGCGACUUAUAUUCUGUAGCAAGGUUAACCGAAUAGGGGAGCCGAAGGGAAACCGAGUCUUAACUGGGCGUUAAGUUGCAGGGUAUAGACCCGAAACCCGGUGAUCUAGCCAUGGGCAGGUUGAAGGUUGGGUAACACUAACUGGAGGACCGAACCGACUAAUGUUGAAAAAUUAGCGGAUGACUUGUGGCUGGGGGUGAAAGGCCAAUCAAACCGGGAGAUAGCUGGUUCUCCCCGAAAGCUAUUUAGGUAGCGCCUCGUGAAUUCAUCUCCGGGGGUAGAGCACUGUUUCGGCAAGGGGGUCAUCCCGACUUACCAACCCGAUGCAAACUGCGAAUACCGGAGAAUGUUAUCACGGGAGACACACGGCGGGUGCUAACGUCCGUCGUGAAGAGGGAAACAACCCAGACCGCCAGCUAAGGUCCCAAAGUCAUGGUUAAGUGGGAAACGAUGUGGGAAGGCCCAGACAGCCAGGAUGUUGGCUUAGAAGCAGCCAUCAUUUAAAGAAAGCGUAAUAGCUCACUGGUCGAGUCGGCCUGCGCGGAAGAUGUAACGGGGCUAAACCAUGCACCGAAGCUGCGGCAGCGACACUAUGUGUUGUUGGGUAGGGGAGCGUUCUGUAAGCCUGUGAAGGUGUGCUGUGAGGCAUGCUGGAGGUAUCAGAAGUGCGAAUGCUGACAUAAGUAACGAUAAAGCGGGUGAAAAGCCCGCUCGCCGGAAGACCAAGGGUUCCUGUCCAACGUUAAUCGGGGCAGGGUGAGUCGACCCCUAAGGCGAGGCCGAAAGGCGUAGUCGAUGGGAAACAGGUUAAUAUUCCUGUACUUGGUGUUACUGCGAAGGGGGGACGGAGAAGGCUAUGUUGGCCGGGCGACGGUUGUCCCGGUUUAAGCGUGUAGGCUGGUUUUCCAGGCAAAUCCGGAAAAUCAAGGCUGAGGCGUGAUGACGAGGCACUACGGUGCUGAAGCAACAAAUGCCCUGCUUCCAGGAAAAGCCUCUAAGCAUCAGGUAACAUCAAAUCGUACCCCAAACCGACACAGGUGGUCAGGUAGAGAAUACCAAGGCGCUUGAGAGAACUCGGGUGAAGGAACUAGGCAAAAUGGUGCCGUAACUUCGGGAGAAGGCACGCUGAUAUGUAGGUGAAGUCCCUCGCGGAUGGAGCUGAAAUCAGUCGAAGAUACCAGCUGGCUGCAACUGUUUAUUAAAAACACAGCACUGUGCAAACACGAAAGUGGACGUAUACGGUGUGACGCCUGCCCGGUGCCGGAAGGUUAAUUGAUGGGGUUAGCCGCAAGGCGAAGCUCUUGAUCGAAGCCCCGGUAAACGGCGGCCGUAACUAUAACGGUCCUAAGGUAGCGAAAUUCCUUGUCGGGUAAGUUCCGACCUGCACGAAUGGCGUAAUGAUGGCCAGGCUGUCUCCACCCGAGACUCAGUGAAAUUGAACUCGCUGUGAAGAUGCAGUGUACCCGCGGCAAGACGGAAAGACCCCGUGAACCUUUACUAUAGCUUGACACUGAACAUUGAGCCUUGAUGUGUAGGAUAGGUGGGAGGCUUUGAAGUGUGGACGCCAGUCUGCAUGGAGCCGACCUUGAAAUACCACCCUUUAAUGUUUGAUGUUCUAACGUUGACCCGUAAUCCGGGUUGCGGACAGUGUCUGGUGGGUAGUUUGACUGGGGCGGUCUCCUCCUAAAGAGUAACGGAGGAGCACGAAGGUUGGCUAAUCCUGGUCGGACAUCAGGAGGUUAGUGCAAUGGCAUAAGCCAGCUUGACUGCGAGCGUGACGGCGCGAGCAGGUGCGAAAGCAGGUCAUAGUGAUCCGGUGGUUCUGAAUGGAAGGGCCAUCGCUCAACGGAUAAAAGGUACUCCGGGGAUAACAGGCUGAUACCGCCCAAGAGUUCAUAUCGACGGCGGUGUUUGGCACCUCGAUGUCGGCUCAUCACAUCCUGGGGCUGAAGUAGGUCCCAAGGGUAUGGCUGUUCGCCAUUUAAAGUGGUACGCGAGCUGGGUUUAGAACGUCGUGAGACAGUUCGGUCCCUAUCUGCCGUGGGCGCUGGAGAACUGAGGGGGGCUGCUCCUAGUACGAGAGGACCGGAGUGGACGCAUCACUGGUGUUCGGGUUGUCAUGCCAAUGGCACUGCCCGGUAGCUAAAUGCGGAAGAGAUAAGUGCUGAAAGCAUCUAAGCACGAAACUUGCCCCGAGAUGAGUUCUCCCUGACUCCUUGAGAGUCCUGAAGGAACGUUGAAGACGACGACGUUGAUAGGCCGGGUGUGUAAGCGCAGCGAUGCGUUGAGCUAACCGGUACUAAUGAACCGUGAGGCUUAACCUUACAACGCCGAAGGUGUUU
rnacentral:rRNA from 1 species